rnacentral:lncRNA from 1 species
GGAUGAUCAUAUUUUUUUAUUAAUGACCCAAGCUUGAUCACCACUUUUAAUUGGAAUCUGAUACGUGUGCCAUUUUUGACCACAUAGUACAUAAAUCCCUACAGUGCUAGCGGCACCAUCUGUAGAGGCUCUGGCAUGGAGGUGGUGGACGACAAGGCUUUCUAACUAGUCGUUGUUUGUUCAGGUUCUGUGGUGGCCAUGCAUUAGAUACUC